rnacentral:rRNA from 1 species
GCAGCAUAAUGGAUAGCAAUAUCUAUGGUGGCGACCGGCGCACGGGUGCGUAACGCGUAUGCAACCUACCUUUAACAGGGGGAUAACACUGAGAAAUUGGUACUAAUACCCCAUAAUAUCAUAGAAGGCAUCUUUUAUGGUUGAAAAUUCCGAUGGUUAGAGAUGGGCAUGCGUUGUAUUAGCUAGUUGGUGGGGUAACGGCUCACCAAGGCGACGAUACAUAGGGGGACUGAGAGGUUAACCCCCCACACUGGUACUGAGACACGGACCAGACUCCUACGGGAGGCAGCAGUGAGGAAUAUUGGUCAAUGGACGCAAGUCUGAACCAGCCAUGCCGCGUGCAGGAUGACGGCUCUAUGAGUUGUAAACUGCUUUUGUACGAGGGUAAACGCAGAUACGUGUAUCUGUCUGAAAGUAUCGUACGAAUAAGGAUCGGCUAACUCCGUGCCAGCAGCCGCGGUAAUACGGAGGAUUCAAGCGUUAUCCGGAUUUAUUGGGUUUAAAGGGUGCGUAGGCGGUUUGAUAAGUUAGAGGUGAAAUUUCGGGGCUCAACCCUGAACGUGCCUCUAAUACUGUUGAGCUAGAGAGUAGUUGCGGUAGGCGGAAUGUAUGGUGUAGCGGUGAAAUGCUUAGAGAUCAUACAGAACACCGAUUGCGAAGGCAGCUUACCAAACUAUAUCUGA